rnacentral:rRNA from 1 species
AGGUGGUGCAUGGUUGUCGUCAGCUCGUGUCGUGAGAUGUUGGUUAAGUCCCGCAACGAGCGCAACCCCUACGUUUAGUUGCUAACAGGUGAAGCUGAGCACUCUAGACGAACUGCCGUUGACAAAACGGAGGAAGGUGGGGAUGACGUCAAAUCAUCAUGCCCCUUAUGUUCUGGGCUACACACGUGCUACGAUGGCCGGUACAGACGGAGGCGAAGCCGCGAGGCGGAGCAAAUCCGAAAAAGCCGGUCUCAGUUCGGAUUGCAGGCUGCAAUUCGCCUGCAUGAAGUCGGAAUCGCUAGUAAUCGCAGGUCAGCAUACUGCGGUGAAUACGUUCCCGGGCCUU